AUCCAGGGCUCUGCGUUUCAGCACUCAAUCGUCCCCUUCUCCAAACGCUGCGUCUCACGCCGCGUAUCGGUCGAUCUCUCGGUUCAAGAUUGUUCAUCCAUUGGGCUGGAUUUGGUUGCUUGGAAUUCUACUAUAAUGUCCAGGUUCUAAACAAUUGGGCUGGAUUUGGUUGCUUGGAUUCCCAGAACCCUAAUGUCUCUACGAAAAGCCCCACUUCCUAGGCUCCUCCUCAAUAAUGUGUCUUGCAUGAGGAACGGGCACCAAAUCCUGCGGCAUACAAAUGUCUCUCUUCAUGAUGGUAGUGCACUGGUGCUGUCUGGUUAUCCAAAUAACAGUAAAUUAGAUUUGCACAAUAUACAAAUCACGCGCUUUUAGAGAGGGGAAUCUUUGUGUCACAUCACAAUAUAACCAUCUUAUCUUACCCACUUUGUUAUCCAUCGACACGUGUUGUACUA